GAUGAAGAACGUAGCGAAAUGCGAUAAGUAAUGUGAAUUGCAGAAUUCAGUGAAUCAUCGAAUCUUUGAACGCACAUUGCGCCCCUUGGUAUUCCGAGGGGCAUGCCUGUUCGAGCGUCAUUACACCACUCAAGCUAUGCUUGGUAUUGGGCGUCGUCCUUAGUUGGGCGCGCCUUAAAGACCUCGGCGAGGCCACUCCGGCUUUAGGCGUAGUAGAAUUUAUUCGAACGUCUGUCAAAGGAGAGGAACUCUGCCGACUGAAACCUUUAUUUUUCUAGGUUGACCUCGGAUCAGGUAGGGAUACCCGCUGAACUUAAGCAUAUCAAUAAGCGGAGG
rnacentral:misc_RNA from 1 species